UGGGGAAUUUUGGACAAUGGGCGAAAGCCUGAUCCAGCAAUGCCGCGUGUGUGAAGAAGGCCUUCGGGUUGUAAAGCACUUUUGUCCGGAAAGAAAUCCUUGGCUCUAAUACAGUCGGGGGAUGACGGUACCGGAAGAAUAAGCACCGGCUAACUACGCGCCAGCAGCCGCGGUAAUACGUAGGGUGCAAGCGUUAAUCGGAAUUACUGGGCGUAAAGCGUGCGCAGGCGGUUUGCUAAGACCGAUGUGAAAUCCCCGGGCUCAACCUGGGAACUGCAUUGGUGACUGGCAGGCUAGAGUAUGGCAGAGGGGGGUAGAAUUCCACGUGUAGCAGUGAAAUGCGUAGAGAUGUGGAGGAAUACCGAUGGCGAAGGCAGCCCCCUGGGCCAAUACUGACGCUCAUGCACGAAAGCGUGGGGAGCAAACAGGAUUAGAUACCCUGGUAGUCCACGCCCUAAACGAUGUCAACUAGUUGUUGGGGAUUCAUUUCCUUAGUAACGUAGCUAACGCGUGAAGUUGACCGCCUGGGGAGUACGGUCGCAAGAUUAAAACUUAAAUGAAUUGACGGGGUCAUAGCUGUUUCCU
rnacentral:rRNA from 1 species